rnacentral:rRNA from 1 species
UACGGAGGAUCCGAGCGUUAUCCGGAUUUAUUGGGUUUAAAGGGUGCGCAGGCGGGAGAUUAAGUCGGCGGUGAAAUUUUGCAGCUCAACUGCAAAAGUGCCUUCGAAACUGGCUUUCUUGAGUGUGGAUGAAGUAGGCGGAAUUUGUAGUGUAGCGGUGAAAUGCAUAGAUAUUACAAGGAACUCCGAUUGCGAAGGCAGCUUACUAAAUUACAACUGACGCUUAGGCACGAAGGCGUGGGUAUCAAACAGGAUUAGAUACCCGUGUAGUCCCU